rnacentral:rRNA from 1 species
AUUGAACGCUGGCGGCAUGCCUUACACAUGCAAGUCGAACGGCAGCACGGGAGCUUGCUCCUGGUGGCGAGUGGCGAACGGGUGAGUAAAGCAUCGGAACGUGCCCUGAAGUGGGGAUAACGUAGCGAAAGUUACGCUAAUACCGCAUAUUCUGUGAGCAGGAAAGCAGGGGAUCUUCGGACCUUGUGCUUUAGGAGCGGCCGAUGUCGGAUUAGCUAGUUGGUGAGGUAAAGGCUCACCAAGGCGACGAUCCGUAGCGGGUCUGAGAGGAUGAUCCGCCACACUGGGACUGAGACACGGCCCAGACUCCUACGGGAGGCAGCAGUGGGGAAUUUUGGACAAUGGGCGCAAGCCUGAUCCAGCCAUGCCGCGUGAGUGAAGAAGGCCUUCGGGUUGUAAAGCUCUUUCGGCGGGGAAGAAAUUGCACUCUCUAAUACAGGGUGUAGAUGACGGUACCCGCAUAAGAAGCACCGGCUAACUACGUG